rnacentral:rRNA from 1 species
AUGCAAGUCGAACGAAGCAUACGGACUGAGAUUCGUCGAAGGACCGUAUGACUUAGUGGCGGACGGGUGAGUAAUGUAUGAGCAACCUGCCUUUCAGAGGGGGACAACAGUUGGAAACGACUGCUAAUACCGCGUAACGUAUCGUGGGGGCAUCCUCGUGAUACCAAAGGAGCAAUCCGCUGAAAGAUGGGCUCAUAUCUGAUUAGCUGUUGCGGGUAACGGCCACCAAGGCGACGAUCAGUAGCCGGACUGAGAGGUUGAACGGCCACAUUGGGACUGAGAUACGGCCCAGACUCCUACGGGAGGCAGCAGUGGGGAAUAUUGGGCAAUGGGCGAAAGCCUACGACCCAGCAACGCCGCGUGAAGGAAGAAGGUCUUCGGAUUGUAAACUUCUUUAUGAGGGACGAAGGACGUGACGGUACCUCAUGAAUAAGCCACGGCUAACUACGUGCCAGCCGCCGC